UACAGAGGGGGCAAGCGUUGUUCGGAAUUACUGGGCGUAAAGGGUUUGUAGGUGGCCCGCUAAGUCACACGUGAAAUCCCUCAGCUUAACUGGGGAACUGCGUCCGAUACUGGAUGGCUCGAGUUUGGGAGAGGGAUGCGGAAUUCCAGGUGUAGCGGUGAAAUGCGUAGAUAUCUGGAGGAACACCGGUGGCGAAGGCGGCAUCCUGGACCAACACUGACACUGAGGAGCGAAAGCCAGGGGAGCAAACGGG
rnacentral:rRNA from 1 species